rnacentral:rRNA from 1 species
CCUACGGGUGGCAGCAGUGAGGAAUAUUGGUCAAUGGGCGGGAGCCUGAACCAGCCAAGUCGCGUGAGGGAAGACGGUCCUACGGAUUGUAAACCUCUUUUGCCGGGGAGCAACGGGGUCCUUGCGAGGGCCCGAUGAGAGUACCCGGAGAAAAAGCAUCGGCUAACUCCGUGCCAGCAGCCGCGGUAAUACGGAGGAUCCGAGCGUUAUCCGGAUUUAUUGGGUUUAACGGGUGCGUAGGCGGGCAUUUAAGCCGGCGGUCAAAUGUCGGGGCUCAACCCCGGCCUGCCGUCGGAACUGGGUGCCUUGAGUGGGCGAGAAGUAUGCGGAAUGCGUGGUGUAGCGGUGAAAUGCAUAGAUAUCACGCAGAACCCCGAUUGCGAAGGCAGCAUACCGGCGCCCUACUGACGCUGAGGCACGAAAGUGCGGGUAUCGAACAGGAUUAGAUACCCCGGUAGUC